rnacentral:rRNA from 1 species
ACGUAGGCAGCAAACGUUGUUCGGAAUUACUGGGCGUAAAGAGUGUGUAGGCGGUUCUGCAAGUUUGGUGUGAAAUCUCCCGGCUUAACUGGGAGGGUGCGCCGAAAACUGCAAGGCUAGAGUACUGGAGAGGAAAGCGGAAUUCCUGGUGUAGCGGUGAAAUGCGUAGAUAUCAGGAGGAACACCGGUGGUGUAGACGGCUUUCUGGACAGUAACUGACGCUGAGACACGAAAGCGUGGGGAGCAAACAGGAUUAGAUACCCUGGUAGUCCACGCCCUAAACGAUGCAUACUUGGUGUGGGUCAUUCACUUGAUCUGUGCCGGAGCUAACGCGUUAAGUAUGCCGCCUGGGGAGUACGGUCGCAAGGCUG